GGUAAAGAAUCUUGCUAAAGCAGAGUGCAGAAGGAGCGGACAUUAUACUGGCUGUAACUAAAUCUUGAGCUCUGGCACCAUAGCUAAUAUACUAUACAUUCGAGGUAGAAGAAAAGGAAUAAUGAUUGCGAAUGCUUGUAGAACAAAAUCAUGGAUUCGCAUACAUUUUCUAUACAGUUACAGUACGUAAAAAUAUUUGUUCAAGAAUGGCGCUAACACAAACACAUUAAAGUAGAGGACUAGUAGUAACAUAUUUUUGGAAUUCUAUAUUGUACCACUUCCGGUUUUCAAUUAAUGGAUUGGCUGUAACUAAAGCAAAAGUUCUAAAGCUACAGUACUUGGAGCAUUCGAUAAAGAACGCCUAUCUGACAUUAUAAACAUACUGAAAGUGAAAAAAUUGCCUGAUAAUAUCGAGAAAAUAAUUAGAAAGCUAAUCGAUAACACAAGCUAUCGAUAACACAACUCAAAUAAAUGCAGGGAAUAAUCUAACACGAGACAUACCCACACAAGGAAGCAUUAGACAAGGAGACAGCUUUAGCUCCUUCUUAUUCAAUUUUUUAAUCAUCAUAGAAGAGGUGACCUCGAUUAAUAUCGGUUAUCGAAUGGAACACAACAGAGUUAGCAUGGUGUGUUACGCUGAUGAUGCAGCCAUUAUCGCGGAGACAGAGGACGAUAUGCAGAGACAGCUUCAAAAAUUCUAUCAAGUAAACCAAGAAUUAAUUAUGAUUAUCUCUGUAGAAAAAAAGAUGAUUAACUUUCUCUAAAGAGACGGUAGUAGAAAACAAAAUUAUUUAGCAAGUAUCUCCAUUUAGAUACCUAGGAAUUGAUAUGUCGGACUACCACGAUCCAGAGAAAGAUCUAAAAAGCCAAAUAAACAAUAUAAAGUGGCAAAUAGUGUGGACAAAUCCCUUUAUGCAAACCUUUAUGCGAACAGACAGCUGAAUUAAAAUUUAUAAGACCUGCAUCAGACAUAUCCAUUAUAACAUAUACCAUCAGACAUAUACCAUCAUAACAUAUGGCAUAGAAAUCCGAGAAAACAAACAAAAUCAAAAGCAUGUUAAGGGUUGCUGAAAUGAAGAACCUAAAAACCAUAAUGGAGAAGACUAGAAGAGACAGAUUAUUAGACAACAAUGUGGAAUAUAGGACGUAGUGAGAUGGGGUAGGCAAAGAGCAAGAAAAUGGUUCGCAAAAGUUAAAAGCAUGAAAGAAAACAGGCUACACAUAGCUCUUGAAGGGGUAAGAGACAGCCGGGAAGACCUUCAAAAAGAUGGAAUGACGGUUGCAAUCCACCUCCCAAGAACUAACAGAUCGACUAGAUUUCCCCAAAUGAGCAGAAGAAGAAGACGAAGACCCAAUAUUAUUUUUUGGUAGGUUUAGGUACCUAUACAAAUAAUAUACCUGAAAAUGAAGCACUAUUGAUAUUUUACAAUAUUAAUAAAAUUGAGAUAUCUAAUCAUUAAGAGAAUUAAAUAUUAUAUUUUGGUAUACAAAAACAUUAAUAAAUUUUAAUCUUUUAUGAUUUAUUAUAGAUAUCUGAUCGGUUACUGAAUUUUAUAAGAAUAUAUUUGGUAGUCUUAAUGGAUUACUCCUUUUUUGUAACUUAAAAUGAUAUAAUA